rnacentral:rRNA from 1 species
CCUACGGGUGGCAGCAGUGAGGAAUAUUGGUCAAUGGGCGGAAGCCUGAACCAGCCAAGUAGCGUGCAGGAUGACGGCCCUACGGGUUGUAAACUGCUUUUAUACGGGAAUAACGCGCCUUACGUGUAGGGCUUUGCAUGUACCGUAUGAAUAAGGACCGGCUAAUUCCGUGCCAGCAGCCGCGGUAAUACGGAGGGUUCAGGCGUUAUCCGGAUUUAUUGGGGUUAAAGGGAGCGUAGGCCGCAUGUCAAGGGCGCUGUGAAAUGUCCGGGCUCAACCCGGGCCUUGCAGCGGAAACUGGCGUGCUUGAGUCCGCGGAAGGCAGGCGGAAGUCGUGGUGUAGCGGUGAAAUGCUUAGAUAUGACGAAGAACCCCGAUUGCGAAGGCAGCUUGCUGGAGCGGAACUGACGCUGAUGCUCGAAAGCGCGGGUAUCGAACAGGAUUAGAUACCCGGGUAGUC